ensembl:lncRNA
CUUCAUUUGGACAUUAAUGUCCACUGGGAAACUGUCAAUAACCUCUUUCAAAGCUGGGAAGUGUGCGGUACAGGGCUCUGUUAGGGACAAGUGUCUUUGGAAAAGUUGCAGUUUGAUUCCAAAGGCCUUGAUGUGAGCGUAUAGUUGGCUCACCACUGCGUCUUUUCCUUGAAGAUUAACAUUCAGCGCAUUCAGAUGCCUCGUAAUGUCAACCAAAAAAGCCAGAUUUGCCAGCCAUACAGGAUCAGACAGUUCUUCCAUUGGUUGUCCCUUCUCAUCUAAAAACUGUCUGAUUUCCUCUCUGAGAGAGAAAAAUCGCUGUAGUGCAGAUCCCCGACUUAGCCACCUCACAUCAUUGUAAUAAAUUACGUCACCAUAUUCAGCCUGGAUGUCAUGCAGAAACUGCUGAAACUGUCGGUGGCACAGAGCUUUAGAGCGAAUACAGUUGAUUGUCUUUGCUACUGGUUUCAUAACAUCAUCAAAUUUGAGAUGUUUGGCACAGAGAGCCUGCUGAUGAAUGAUACAGUGAAGUUUAACAGCGUUACCUGUUUCUUCGCUGACUUUAUUGCAGAUCAGUGUGGACAAUCCGGUUCGCUCACCAGCCAUGGCAGGUGCGCCAUCAGUAAUGAUCCCAGAGACUUUACUCCAUGGUAGCUUCAUAUCAUCAACAGCUUCACAAACAGAAAUGAAUAAAUCCAUUCCUCUGGUUUGACCCUUAAGGCUUUUGAGAUCCAGCAGCUCCUCUGUCACGUUCAUCUUGUCGUUGACUCCUCGUAAAUAAAUCAGCAGUUGCACGGUGUCAGAUGCAUCGGUGCUUUCAUCGCAGGCUAAUGAGAAAUAAUCAAAAUCCACUCCUCUGUCCCGCAGCUGUCUGUGAAUGUCUGACAAUAUAUCCUCAACUCUUCGUGCCACAGUGUUGCGUGCCAAGCAAGCAUUCAGAAAUUCUUGCUUCUUCUCGGGGCAAAUGUUCUCCACCAUUUUCAUGACACAGUCUUUGACAAACGUACCUUCAGUGAAAGGUUUGCCAUGUUUAGCUAUUGACAUAGCCACUUCGUAGCUGGCUUUCGUGAUAUUUUCAUGUGUCUCACAGGCCCGCGUGAAAAAUCGCUGUUGCGAAGCCAGAGCAGCUUGGAGUUGCUUCACUUUUUCAGCGCGCUCACUCCCUGUUAGCUUGUUAUAUGUUGCAGCAUGUUUAUUCUCGUAGUGUCUCCUAAUGUUAAAAUCCUUAAACAAGGCAACAGACUCUUUACAAAUCAGGCAAACACAAUUGCCUCGAAUUUCAGUAAAAAAAUACUGCAAUUCCCACCGCUCCUGAAAGCGGCGGCCCUCACCAUCAACCUUUCUCUUUUUUUGUACAGUCACCAUGGCAGAAAUGAGCAGAGAAGGGCGGGCUCGCAGCACAGGUGCAGGUAGCUGAAAAAUGUGCUGCCACCAUGUGGUGAAAAAAGGAAUUACACCUUUAAAGCCAGGAUUUACUUAUUCAGACUUAGAAAGUGAGCCAUAAAUUAUACAUAAUUAGACUGAAGCUGCGGGCCACAUGAAAUCUGACCGCCGGACUUUGGACAUG